UUUGGCUAUAUAUCUUGGGAUAGAACCUUGCCUCAUGACCGCACAAAUUAACCUGAGCUCUCCUGCUGAUAAACACUGUAACGAGGCUGGACUUUUCAUUUUCAACAGCAUACCUUGUUCUUUUCCAACUCCUCCCUUUUCCUUCCCAUGUCUCAAACCCUUUCACCCUUUCGUCCCUUGAUUUCUUUUUUUUAUUUUUUUCUCUACUCAUCUGUUAAACCGCAAAGAGAGCUGCUGAAGAAACAAAGGCAGGCUGGAGGGGGAAGGUGGUUGACAGAAGAUAGAGAGCACAAGUGAACAUGCCCAAAAAGCUUCUUUUGUGUGUGUCCAGUCUUGUGCUCUUCUAUCUUCUGCCAACACAAAGUACUUUCCUCUCAAACUUCUUUCUCACUGCAUCUUACUAGCAAGGUAUGAUCCUUUUUAUGCUCAUUCUUUCAACAUUACGUAACUUGGGGACCGCCAUACACCUAUUUAACUUAUAGUGCUGCGUGUAUAGAAAUAAGACAAGUCACGAAGUAGGGUCUCUUUGUUCAGCUUUUAUUAGAUUUAACCAUGGCAAGAGUGGGUUCUGUGACAGUUAAAAGACAGUGAGAUGUCCCGGAUGAGCCGUCGUCGUUGCAGAGAAGAAGCAAAAGUCCAAGCUUGAGGGGGUAGCUAGCCUCAUGUGGUUGUUCAAACAUGAAGGCGAGGUUGGAGAAAGUUUGAAAGCAUCGUCUGCUGUCCAUUUUUCAAUAACCUACGAGGUGAAUGUUUUGAUGCUCUGGAAAUGACCGGGAGGGGAAGAAACGCCACAAGCGAGCGGCCAAAUCGACAAGCUUGACACUCUCUGGAUAAAACAUCACCGUCUAUGGCAGUGAAGGUAUAUUGCAGCAGAGAGAGUUAU